CGAGCGUUAAUCGGAAUUACUGGGCGUAAAGACGCAUGCAGGUGGUUUGUUUAAGUUCAGAUGUGAAAGACCCGGGGCGUCAACCUACGGAAUAAGCAUUUGAAACUAGGCAGACUAGAGUACUGUAGAGGGGGGUAGGGAAGUUUCUAGGUGUAGCGGUGAAAUAGCGUAGAGAUCUGAAGGAAUACCGGUGGCGAAGGCGGCCCCCUCGGACAGAUACUGACACUCAGAUGCGAAAGCGUGGGGAGCAAACAGGAUUAGAUACCCCUGGUAG
rnacentral:rRNA from 1 species